rnacentral:lncRNA from 1 species
AGACUUAAGCAUUUGGUUUUCUUUACAUGUCACGAAAAAUUAAUCCAUUUACAGAAUCUUGGGGACUCCAAGAAAUCCAGUGACUCUCUCGAGAAGCUAAGGGUUACCUAAGAAGGGUUGUCAUCGGAGCCUUGACAUCAGCAGUCAUUGUCCCUGAUGCUUCCUUGCCCGGAAUUGUUCCUGAUGAAAUGCAAGCUCCUCCGCCCUGUGUGACUAAAGGCAUUGAAAGCAAUGAAGAAUAUGAACAGGUGGAAGAGCUGGGAGUACCCGGGGAAUAGAUUUGACAUCAACAGAACACGGAGUUUUCUCAGGUGGCUCAUCGGAUAGAAAGAAAAGAAUACAACAGUGGAAAAGGUAUUUUUAUUACACAACAGGCAAGUAUUUGUAUUAACUUGUAGAACAAGUUUG